UUUCUUCACCCACUAAGAGGGAACAUGAGCUGGGUUAGACUGUCGUGAGACAGGUUAGUUUUACCUUACUGAUGGUGUGUUGUUGCAAUAGU